rnacentral:rRNA from 1 species
AUUGAACGCUGGCGGCAUGCCUUACACAUGCAAGUCGAACGGUAACGCGGGGCAACCUGGCGACGAGUGGCGAACGGGUGAGUGACACGUAGGAAUCUGCCCAUUGGUGGGGGAUAACCCGGGGAAACUCGGGCUAAUACCGCAUACGCCCUGAGGGGGAAAGCGGGGGAUCUUCGGACCUCGCGCCAUUGGAGGAGCCUGCGUCGGAUUAGCUAGUUGGUGGGGUAAAGGCCUACCAAGGCGACGAUCCGUAGCUGGUCUGAGAGGACGACCAGCCACACUGGGACUGAGACACGGCCCAGACUCCUACGGGAGGCAGCAGUGGGGAAUUUUGGACAAUGGACGCAAGUCUGAUCCAGCCAUGCCGCGUGCGGGAAGAAGGCCUUCGGGUUGUAAACCGCUUUUGUCAGGGAAGAAAUCUUCUGAGUUAAUACCUCGGGAGGAUGACGGUACCUGAAGAAUAAGCACCGGCUAACUACGUGCCAGCAGCCGCAGUAAGAC